GCGAGGUUGAUGAUAAAAAAAAAAAAAAACAAUAGAUUGAUUUUGAAAGGUAUGGAAAAGGAAUAAAAAUUUUUUCUUCUAAAAUGUGGUUCAAGAGAUGCAUACAAAAAUUGAAAAGAAAAAUACCUUUUCUUACGGAAGGGAGUCUGACGGCUUGGGUUCUUGGCUCCAGCAGAUUUUUAGGUUUAUACAGGGAUAAACUAUGUAAUUAUGUUAUUUUAAUAUGGACAUUUUUGUCAAAAAUAUAGCUUUCCGAAAAAGCUGAAACAACUGCCUCCUAAAAGCUCCAAAUUGGAGCUUCCUCCCAAAAGCUGUUUUCAGCUUCCCGCAAAAGCUGAAACAGCUUUUUGAAAAAUUUACCAAACACAGUUUUUCAUCUAAAAGUACUUUUGGAGGG
rnacentral:lncRNA from 1 species